rnacentral:rRNA from 1 species
UUUAGCGGUAACGAACGAGACCUUAACCUGCUAAAUAGCCCGAUCCGCUUUUGCGGGUUGCCGGCUUCUUAGAGGGACUAUCGGAUACAAGUCGAUGGAAGUUUGAGGCAAUAACAGGUCUGUGAUGCCCUUAGAUGUUCUGGGCCGCACGCGCGCUUCACUGACAGAGCCAACGAGUACAUCACCUUGGCCGGAAGGUCUGGGCAAUCUUGUUAAACUCUGUCGUGCUGGGGAUAGAGCAUUGCAAUG